UCUCCGUAGGUGAACCUGCGGAGGGAUCAUUACUGAGUGAGGGUCUCCGGGCCCGACCUCCAACCCUUUUGUGAACCACCUCGUUGCUUCGGGGGCGACCCUGCCGUUCCGGCACCGGCGCCCCCGGAGGCUCAUCAAACCCUGCAUCUCUGCGUCGGAGUCUUAAUGAAUUUAAACAAAACUUUUAACAACGGAUCUCUUGGUUCUGGCAUCGAUGAAGAACGCAGC
rnacentral:misc_RNA from 1 species